rnacentral:rRNA from 1 species
AACGAACGCUGGCGGCAUGCCUAACACAUGCAAGUCGAACGAGACCUUCGGGUCUAGUGGCGCACGGUUGCGUAACGCGUGGGAACCUGCCCUUAGGGUCGGAAUAACUCCCCGAAAGGGGUGCUAAUACCGGACAAUGUCUUCGGACCAAGGAUUUAUCGCCUUUGGAUGGGCCCGCGUUGGAUUAGCUCGUUGGUAGGGUAAAAGCCUACCAAGGCGUCGAUCCAUAGCUGGUCUGAGAGGCUGAUCAGCCACACUGGGACUGAGACGCGGCCCAGACUCCUACGGGAGGCAGCAGUGGGGGAUAUUGGACAAUGGGCGAAAGCCUGAUCCAGCAAUGCCGCGUGAGUGAUGAAGGCCUUAGGGUUGUAAAGCUCUUUUACCCGGGAUGAUAAUGACAGUACCGGGAGAAUAAGCUCCGGCUAACUCCGUG